AUUGAACGCUAGCGGGAUGCUUUACACAUGCAAGUCGAACGGCAGCGCGGACUUCGGUCUGGCGGCGAGUGGCGAACGGGUGAGUAAUGUAUCGGAACGUGCCCAGUAGCGGGGGAUAACUACGCGAAAGCGUAGCUAAUACCGCAUACGCCCUACGGGGGAAAGCAGAGGAUCGUAAGACCUUGCACUAUUGGAGCGGCCGAUAUCGGAUUAGCUAGUUGGUGAGGUAACGGCUCACCAAGGCGACGAUCCGUAGCUGGUUUGAGAGGACGACCAGCCACACUGGGACUGAGACACGGCCCAGACUCCUACGGGAGGCAGCAGUGGGGAAUUUUGGACAAUGGGGGCAACCCUGAUCCAGCCAUCCCGCGUGUGCGAUGAAGGCCUUCGGGUUGUAAAGCACUUUUGGCAGGAAAGAAACGUCGCGGGCUAAUACCCCGUGGAACUGACGGUACCUGCAGAAUAAGCACCGGCUAACUACGU
rnacentral:rRNA from 1 species